UACCAAGGUUAUGAUGGUUAGCUGGUCUGAGAGGAUGAUCAGCCACACUGGAACUGAAACACGGUCCAGACUCCUACGGGAGGCAGCAGUGAGGAAUAUUGCGCAAUGGGGGCAACCCUGACGCGGCAACGCCGCGUGAGUGAGGAAGGUUUUCGGAUUGUAAAGCUCUGUCGAGCGGAAAGAAAUGCACGAUGGCUAAUAUCCAUCAUGCUUGACGGUACCGCUAGAGGAAGCACCGGCUAACUCCGUGCCAGCAGCCGCGGUAAUACGGGGGGUGCAAGCGUUGUUCGGAAUCAUUGGGCGUAAAGAGCGUGUAGGCGGCUGGACAAGUCAGAUGUGAAAUCCCUGGGCUUAACCCAGGAAGUGCAUUUGAAACUGUCUAGCUGGAGUAAGGGAGAGGAAAGUGGAAUUCCUGGUGUAGAGGUGAAAUUCGUAGAUAUCAGGAGGAACACCGGUGGCGAAGGCGACUUUCUGGCCCUAUACUGACGCUGAGACGCGAAAGCGUGGGUAGCAAACAGGAUUAGAUACCCUGGUAGUCCACGCUGUAAACGAUGUUCACUAGGUGUUGGGGGUAUUGACCCUUUCAGUGCCGCAGCUAACGCAUUA
rnacentral:rRNA from 1 species